CAAAAAGCGGAGGAAAAGAAACCAACAGGGAUUGCCUCAGUAACGGCGAGUGAAGCGGCAAAAGCUCAAAUUUGAAAUCCUUCGGGAAUUGUAUUUUGAAGGUGGGUUUGGUUAGGAAAAGUUACUUUAAGUCCAUUGGAAAAUGGCGCCAUGGAGGGUGAUAGCCCCGUAAAAGUACCCCUUUUCCUUUUAUCCAUUCCCUCCAAAGAGUCGAGUUGUUUGGGAAUGCAGCUCUAAGUGGGUGGUAAAUUCCAUCUAAAGCUAAAUAUUGGCGAGAGACCGAUAGCGAACAAGUACAGUGAUGGAAAGAUGAAAAGCACUUUGAAAAGAGAGUGAAAAAGUACGUGAAAUUGUUGAAAGGGAAGGGCUUGCAAGCAGACACAACCUCGGUUGGGCCAGCAUCGGAGUGGGGGGAGACAAAAAAGAAAAGGAAUGUAACUCUUUCGAGUAUUAUAGCCUUUUUCUCAUAUCUCCACCCCCUUCCGAGGCCUGCGAUUCUUCAAGGAUGCUGGCGUAAUGGUUGCAAGUCGCCCGUCUUGAAACACGGACAAAAA
rnacentral:rRNA from 1 species